GUCCACCAUACCCCUUGGGUCCACCAUGUAUGGGAUAGCUGUUCCAGGAACAUAUAUAGGCGAUGAUGACAUUGACAUUCCAGGAGGACCAGUAAAUCCGUUGUACCCAUACAUAGGAGCUGGAGAAAAGGACACACCAGGUGCUAAACCCAAAGAGUUUCCUGUUUUUCCCAUGUAUAAUCCUGUUGCUGUCUCGAGGGACUUACCAUUGGACAGGAACGAAGCCAUCUGGGAAACAGUCUCUUUUCUGUCAACGUCCACUUUUGUACCUAAUAGAGAGAUAACCGGUUCAUCCACUUUGUGCCCUCCAUAGGAGGCUGUGCUCCACGGGUGCUGCCCAUAGUAGGGACCCUGAUCACGUGAAUCGAUGAAAAACUGUGGCCUGUCAUUCAAGUCGAAGUUUACUUCCUUCCCUGAUUGCUGAGAAACUGAAGGUGACGCGCUUUGCUGCCCAUUGUGACUUAAAAACAAUCUUGUUUCCAUCUUCAACUCAGAAGGUGGAGGAAUGUCAUCCUCUUCGUUUGUACAAUUCAAAUCCAGGUUGAACCUGCUUGAUCCUCGGAAAUUAGCUUCAUGUGAGGACUCUCCACCCCUAGAGUUUGAUGAGGAGAAAGGAAACUGUUUCCAGGGAGUCUGAUCUUCAACUUGAUCAUCUCCUACAUCCGCUACAUUCAGAUCGACACAUAUCACCUGCUUUUCUCUUGAAUCCCCGCUAGGAACUUUGUGAGGUGAUUCCGAGUGAGAUACACUACAAGCAGCCAAACCUUUCGCACUAAGAGAUCUUUCCAAUUGCAACGGUGCUGCUGCAGGCAUACCAGAAUAUGAAACAGACAUAAUGUCAUCGGUCUCAUCAGGACAAAUAUCUUCAUUGAGGUCAAAGCCACAUGGGCUUUUCUCUCUCCCUACCUCGGAUUUAGCAGGUUCUGCCAGGUGCUUCUCUUUAACAUCAUCAGCGUUCACCAUCCCAUUCUCACGUUUAUUAUUCUUCUCUUCCAGGUGAUCUCCAACAUGUGGUUCCUCAAGGGAAAGACUUUCACCCACUGAUAAUCUUUUAGAUGGAGAACCUGUGUGUAGAUCACCACUGUGGGAGUGUUGCGAAUCAGACUGCCCGCUUUCAUCAGAUAGUUCUUCUGAAGAACUGUGAGAAGCUUCCCCAGAGUCUACGUCUCUUGCCACUUCCUGUGCGACUUUGGUAGCGAUCUCCAAGGCAUCCAAGAUACCAAGGUCAAUAUCAGCCGUUGUUUUGUCGAUUGCUCCAAGGCGCUGGGAUAUGGUCAUUGAUCUAGAAGACCUGCGUUUUUUUCUUCGUUUCACUCUCUUCUCUGUGUCUAAAUGUCCCUUACCUUCUCUUUUGUCUUCACUCUCAACUUUAUCAUUUCUACCAUGACCACCUGAUAAUCUAGACGAACUGUCAGAAUCCUGAUUGUCCGUCACCUGAGCCAAUGAAGGCACAUUUUCCCUAUUAUGGGCAAUACUAACAUCGUGCGACGCGCAUACGGUCUCAGACGCAUUCCUGAUGACCUCAUUUGAAUCAAGACUACUCUGCAAAAUACUAUUUUUCUCCAACUCCAUGCUGACAAUAACAGAAUCAGAAGACACAGCUACAGAACUAGAUGACACUGCUCCAGCUCCACCAAUCUUUUCAAGAAAAUUUCCAGGGCUUCCUAGCUGCUUUUCCUUAGAUAUCUCAGCACUAACCGGAGCAAUUGAUGGACCUUCGACACUAUCGCGUUCUGAAUUAAGAAUGCUAAUAGAGCUUGCAACUUGUGCCUGCCACCAACAAUAUAAGCUUGCUUGUAUAAGCAAAAAGAUCAUAUUUUGUUUCAAUAUAUUUUCUCAGUAAAUUGGACCUUACCUUGGCACUGAGAUUAGAAAGAAAAGCUGUACACUCGUCUGGCUGCAUCACUGGUUGUGCGUCUUCUGUCUCUUGUUUAUUUGAAGUAGCUGCCUUUCCAGACUCUGAUUCAAUGCUUAUUUUGUUUGGUACAGUUGCACUAUUAUCUUCUUUACUCAUCUGCGGCGGCUUACCCAAAGAGACUUCUUCUACACACGCUCCUCCACGGGUAGGAUCUCCAGAAGUCUGCAAUAACACAAAGCAAUAAAGUUGACUGUCAAGUUAUCAUCUUUGGUAAAAUCUGAUUCCUUCCUAGGAUUCUGAGAAAGCUGGUUAUAGGGAAAGGGAGAAGAUUAUUACUUGGACAUAAGCAUCGCAGUUGUGAGGAUUGGCGGAGAGCUCCGAACCUAGGAAUGGGGCAGCCUCGGAAUCAUCCGCAGAGGGUGGGGCAGGAUCUUCCAUCUUCUGAUCGAUGCUCGUGAGUAGCUCAGUGUCAUCCAUCGUCUCAAUUUUCUCCGUCGUCGAGACUAUAUAACCACCAAUUCAAUUUGUGAUUUUGAAAUUAGAAUCUAUGCAAACGCACUCACACAAUUGGUCAAUUCCUUUGAAUUAUAAACCGGUAAGGAUUUUGAUAAGCUUGAAGUAAGCUCAUCGGGGGGGGGGAGGGAGAAUUGACGAAGAGCAGGGUAGAAGGAAGAAGAAGAAAUGAGAAUUUAGGGAUUUUGAUAUUUGAUUUGUUGAUUUUUUCCAUAAAGUUUGCGUGAUUACAUACAUAUAAAGUAUAAACCAAAAGAAGAUAAUAACUAACAGCCCAAUGGACAAUAAACCGAGGCCCAAAUGGUUCUUAUCAGAUUUCACGGUUAUCCUUAACCUCACAUUGAUUGUAAAAUAAUUUUGGGGCCCGGUUGAUGUUCGGGUAAAUUGAGGCUUUGUGGUUGUGUAAAGUCCUGGAAGCCGAAAAAUUGCCAAUAAUUUUUUUUUAGACUUUAGAAAUAUGUAAAGCUUUAAAAGCCACUUUUAAACAAAAAAAAAACUGGUUUUUAGUUCUUUAUUUUCAACAGCCACUUUUUAAUGCUUUUAAACCAUUUCUUUUUAUUAUUUUUUUCUAAAAAAACGUGAACGCUUAAGGUUUUAGGAUUUGCUCAAUGCCAAAAUUAUUUCGCUUAGAUGAUACUAAUUUUCCUCAUCCAUCUGAUGGUAAGUAUUAUUUAGGUGAUUCAGAAUACGCAUUGCACCGUAGAUAUCUUUGUCUUUAUAGAGGAAAUACAUCUCUUAUAUACUAAAGCACAAGUCACAUGUGGAAUAUAUUUUAUUAAAAAAAUCUAUCUAAAACAAAUUCUCAUCCCUAAUUUCCAGCAACUCUAUCCUAUUUUUUCUCAGAAUCCACGUUCAAAAUCACCAUGAUUUCAAACGGUUUUCUUCUCCUAUAUACUUUUUGAUCUUUUAGUUCACUCUCUGUUUUAUAUUUUCUAUCUUCUCCAUUAUCAAAUCCCCAUGCUUAUCAAGGACAAACGUUAGUAUCUGAGUUUCCAAUUCUUUUAUCUAAAAUUGAAUAUUUACAGGUAUGUUUUUUGGCUUAUCUUUACGUAAUUACUAUCUUUUGCAUUAGUUUUAGUAUUUCAAAAGGAACAUACAGACCUGUAACCCACAUUCUAAUAGUACGUUUAAUAUCUUUAAGUUUUACAUCUAUUUUAGUCAAGGUCAGAGUUCAUCUCAUGUUGAAAUAUAUUCAUGGUCAAUUUUACAUUGCCAUAUCAAGAGUCGAAAGUAUAGAGAUCUUAAUUGUUAGUGAGGAGGGGGGGAGGGGGAAGGAUACAAAAACAACUAAUGUUUCUAGAUAUUUUUCAUCACAUUAGAGAAUCUUGAAUCAUCUUUAGGUGAAAAUAGAAUAAUAAGUGUAGCCACCACAAAAAAAACAAUGAUAGAGAUCUUCAGAGCUUGGAAGAUGAUGAAUCCCAUAGAAAGGUGAUGAAUAUUUUCUAGAGUAAAUGCAACUUCUUUGUUUGAACGCAGCCAUCUCUUAUCAUGUUUAUCGAAUAUUUGACUAGAUUAUUAAUUUUUAGUGAAAGAUAUAUUAAAAUUUCAUGAUCAAGUAAUUUAAUAGACAGGGAAAUUGAUCCGUGCAUGGCACGGGAGAACACUAGUAUCAUCUAAAUCAGUUCUAAAAUCAACAAGAAGAAAGAAACUACAGAGAAAUUUUUAAUCGUCACCAUUCAUGACUUCGUUCAGUGAUAGAAAGAACUUUUGGAGUAUAGAAAAAAAUGAUGUAUUGUCAAAGACGAAGCAAGGUAUAACAUAUGCAAAAAAUUGUGGUGGCAACCAUGGUUCUCCAUAAUUUUAUUUGUAAAUCAAAUCUUGUGGAUCCUAAUUUUCAGUCAAAAGAAAAUGAAAAUGAACAAAUGACAAAUGAGGAAAAAACUUCCAGAUACGAUUGAACAAGAUCUCAGUUCAAAACAAUACAUGGAAGGUGUUCGAGAUGAACACUGCAAACAACAUUAGCAACCGUUAAAUCUUAUUUUUUAUAUUUAAUAAAAUGUAAUCUUAUUUAAAUAAUAAAAAUAAUAUUUUUUGUUAGAAUAAAUAAUAAAAUAUAUUUAUUGCUAAUUUUUUACUGAUAAAUAAAAAGUAGAUAGAAAAAAAUAAGUUAUAGAUUUUGGAAAUGAAUGUGAAAUAUAUACUUAUAACAGUCGCAGCUUCUAAAGUUUUUGAUGUCAAUCAAGCUUUUAAACUUUUCAAAAUAACAGUCACAACGUUUAAAGCUAAAUUCUCUACAGUCAUAUUUUUAAAACCAAAUCAUAAAGCGAAAGUGUUUACCAAUCCGACCCUUGGUCUUGAAUAGUUUAGUGUAGACGAAUUUUGGAACUCAAACCCACUCGCGAUUCACAUCUAUCGACCUCGUUUACAUUUCCAAAUUAGUACUCCUAUAUUACACUCAAUUAAACACUCAACCCAAUUCUCUAUCUCCUACUAAGUUUAAUGGUAAAUGCAACUCUUGUUAAUUGUGAAAAAAAACUCUGGUUAAUUAUUUGAAAUAAGUUAGUGAAAAAUAAGAAUUUCUCUAAAAUCAACUCUCAGUUAGGCACCAUUUAUUUUUCUAUUAAACUAUAAAUACUAUAGUAUAUCACCAAAUAUCUUAUUAUGUUUUAUAUAUUUCUAAAAGCCAUAUAAAUUUAUAUAAACUGAAUAUUUUGUGAGAAUGUAAGUUUUGAAUUUCUUAGGGAGAAUAUAAGUCUUUUUUAACAACUGCGAAAACAACCGUUAAUUUAAUAUUUUUUGUAUGCAUUAUACACUAAUGCCUGAUAAAUGUAUGAUGUUAUAGAUAGUUUUUGUAAAAAAAUAGACAACGACUCAAAGACCAAAUGUGUGUUAUUUUCAGUUAGAUACAUAAAAUGAAAAUAGAACAAGAAUCAAGUGAGACCAUAACUUGAAAUUGGAUUCAAGAUGACUUACAGCCAUGGAUGGUCUUGAGCAUAGUGAAGUGAAAUAUUGGAAUAGGGUCUCCAAUUUUUUUUUUGAAAAUUUUACUUUGAAAAAGGUCUCCAAAUUUGUAAAAAAUAAUUUUAUGUUAAAACUUUAAUAAAAUGUUUAUGGCCCCCAACAUUUUAGGGACGCCGUGCUUACACUUAGUGGGAGUUAUUGGUUGGUGUAUUUUGAUGGAUUUAAAAAUUCAAACUAAAUCUAGUGUUAUUGGUUCUACGAUUUUAAAAUAUGUAUUGAAAUUAUGUGUUAUUCGUUUAAUGAUUCAUAAAUUCUAAUUCAAAUCAAGUGUUAUUCGUUUAAUGAUUCAUAAAUUCUAAUUCAAAUCAAGUGUUAUUCAAUCGUACGGAUUUACUAAUAAAUUUGAUUUCAUAAUGUAUUUGAAUGGAUUUGCAUGAAUUUCUUUGUGAAAAAUACAAAGGCCCAAAUCCGAAAGAAAACCUCCGGAUUUGUAAAUACUAAUCCGAGAAAAUUUGAAAAUUUGUAUAUUUUACUUGGAUUUAUAAAUACUAUAUGGAUUUCUAAAUCAAUAAAAAUAUAUAAACCAAUAACACCUCCUUACAGUAUAUAUACUAUAUACUCGCGAGUUAAGAACUUCCAAAAUCUCAAGAACUACCAAAAGGUGUUUACAUGUAUACAAUGGAAACUCACUCAGCCCCCUUGAACGGGUUUGUCUCUGCUUUUUUGAGUCUCAGAUGCGAUAUUGUCAGUCUACAAUAUAAGAUUUUCUUCAGAGUGCGUUAAUAAAGUAGAACAAGAAAAGCUAUAUCCAAGGGAAUGAGAAGAGAAGGGACCAAGGUGCUUUCGCCUAUUCAGAACUUCGAGAUGUGUCCUUUGAAUUCCUCGAACCUUCUAUGAAAGCAAUCAUACCAGGCUAGAAUUCUUUGGACCAGAUAAAGUAUGAACUCAAGACUUGAGGAAAACCAGGAAGAGAGACAGAUUCCUCCCAAUUUCCACGCCGACUGAAAUCCUCUUUUUACCCUUCUUUGGAUUUGACCGUUCUAUACUGAUCUUCUUACCAAGAAACAUCUUUUUGUUCUUUGCUAUAGCUGCUGCAAAGUCCUCAUCAUCCACAAAGUCAACAUAUGCCAGUCCCUGCGAGACACAAGAGCAUCAAGAAUAUUAAUCCACCAUACUGGCAUGCUUCACUAAGACAUAAAAUAGCAGCAGAUAGUCAUCGGCAGUAUGCAUAAUUGAUAUCUAUGAUGAACAGAUUUACCAAUCAAUGCACCUGGAAAAAUAUACUCAAGUUCCAACAGGAUUUCAUCUAAGCAUGAUCAUACGGAAACUAGGAAAUUUCCAGAUUCAUUUACAGUAACAGUAAAGACUAAGAAGAGCAAAUACUAAUUCAAAGUCGAAAGUACGAGCAUUAGACCAAAGAAGAGCAAAUACUAAUUCAUCUAGAGGCUAGAGAUGCUUCAUUCCUUGCUCAUUCAAGCCACAGAGAAGGACUUAAUGGAAACACGGCACUCAUAGCUUCCCUUGCUUGUCUUAGCUUUUCAAGGUUUGCAUAAUUCCUGAGAAGCUUUAUAUACUGCAAUAACGUUGAUUGUCAAGCAUGAAAGUUAUCAUUUUUUUAAAUGAAAAUUUGGUAAAAGAAAAUCUGUUUUCCUGCCAGAUUCUGAGUGGGAGAAGAUUUCAAGCAAAUGGAAGGUAGAGAAGAUGUUAUUAUUGGAUGAUACCUUCUUUAUUGCGUCUGACUUCCAAGGCUAAAAAUGAGUUUCUGGGUGCUUCUUCUACUUCCCCAACUGUUACGUUUAGCUGCUUUGAUAUUGGUCUGAUUAUGCAUAUAAUUUGAACCGCUAGAUAUUCUCCAAGUAUUGUUCUUUACGACAGCUCAAACUCUGUUUCUAGGAACCACACAAACAACAGCUCAAACUCUGUUUCUAGGAACCACCAUUGUUUGGUUGGUUUAAGAGUUGUAUGAAACAGUUCAGAACUGCUACAGUAACAUAAAGCAACACUUGAAACGCAAAACUAUAGUUUUAUUUUAUGGAGAAAAUACAAAACAAGGUUAAGAAGAAGCUUGACAUAUACCAAUGUUUGAAUUAAUCCUCCUAUAUAUGUUACGAAAUAAAAACCUGAAAAAGGGGGAAAACUGAUGGGAAAAAAGAAGAAGAAAGUUCAUCAAGACAUUAUAAGUUACCUCCCAACACUUCUGUUAUUCUCUAACCAAUCAACCAAUCCAUCCACCUAUUAAGAACCCAAUCUCCACUUUCUGCGAAUCACUCAUCUCCAUGGAGGAGGGAACUCCCAACGUGUCUCCGGCUCUUUCCGCUUUCCACCAAUGCUAAUAGAUAAGCUCGAUGAAGGCUCUACAUUUGCUCCUGAAUGCUCUCCCAUAGCUUCGCCUUGUCCAGGUGAUAGAAACUGCCUCAAACUUAGCGACUCUCGGUUUCCCAUCUCACCCCCAAACCCAUAACUUUGAUCAAAGCGUGGCUGCACAGAUCCAUUCAGACUAUGCGAUCCACCCGCCAAGCUCAUGAACAUGUGCUGUUGAGGAAAUGGUGGCUGUGCAUAUGGAGUCGAUCCCAUCAUUUGAGGCAUCAUCACUGGCGUACCCCUUGCGUCCACCAUGUAUGGAAUAGCUGUUCCAGGAACAUACAUGGCCGAUGAUGACAUUGACAUCCCAGGAGGACCAGUAAAUCCGUUGUACCCAUAUACAGGAGCUGGAGAAAAGGACACUCCAGGUGCUAAACCCAAAGAGUUUCCUGUUUUUCCCAUGUAUAAUCCUGUUGCUGUCUCGAGGGACUUACCAUUGGACAGGAACGAAGCCAUCUGGGAAACAGUCUCUUUUCUGUCAACGUCCACUUUUGU
rnacentral:lncRNA from 1 species